GACAGAGGGUGCGAACGUUGUUCGGAAUUACUGGGCGUAAAGCGCGUGUAGGCGGCGUGGCAAGUCGGAUGUGAAAGCCCUGGGCUCAACCCAGGAAGUGCAUUCGAUACUGCCGUGCUGGAGUCCCGGAGAGGAUGGUGGAACUCUCGGUGUAGAGGUGAAAUUCGUAGAUAUCGAGAGGAACACCUGCGGCGAAGGCGGGUUGCUGGGCUGACACUGACGCUGAAGCGCGAAAGCUAGGGGAGCGAACGGG
rnacentral:rRNA from 1 species